UUAUAGUAAAUGGAGAUUAGGGUUAUCCUAAUCCCCAAAUAACCCUAUCUUCUCCUAUCUUUUCCUUUCGUACAACCCUACAUUACCCUACGCAAUAUUACCCUACACAAUGUUUGGCUGAUUUCCCCAUUCUCCUCUUCGGGUGAUUUUCUUCCCUUUUCCUUUGAUUUCUUCCUCAUUUUUCGUUGACUUUUCCCUUUCCUCUCUGUUGUGAAUCAAAUGAAAGCAAAUCUCGAUUUCCUUCCUCCCAUUUUCGAUGUUCGGUCUGUUCUAUUCGUCUUCAAAUGGUCGUCGUACUACUCCCUCCGAUUUUCUAUCCCUGUCGUUGAAACAUAUUUUUGUUUUGUGACGGUUGCAUUUCGGCGUUACCUCCAAAAUGGUUCUUAUCCUCUAUCUGAUGAUUUUGUUGACUGGUUGCCACAAAUGUGCGUUAGCACCCAAAACAAUCCUUUCUCUCCAUCUUUCCAUUAAUGGCUCUGCCUUUUUUACCCUCAUAAUUUUUUCGAUGAACCUUGCCCUUUCCGACCCUUGUCGCUCCGAGAACGCAUUCGCUGCACUUUUGUUUCGACCCAAGGGCAUUUUAAAUGACAGAUGCUACACGAACUGAAUGAACGAAAGCUGAGUAAGGAAAUAGUGGAGCAUGAAAGGGUCGCUGGUCAACAAUGAAGGUUAUAAUGUUUAAACCAUUCGUAAAAGAUGUACUAUGGUUAUAGCUAUGUACAUUUAAAAAAUCGUUCUAUUUUGGUCUAGUUAAUUGAGUUUUGUAAUAAAUUCCUUUGUUUCUUCCGUCUUUAUGACUAUUUAUUAAACGCUAGCUAUAAUUUCCUUA